UCCCAGCUCCGGGAGACAGAGAGCAAACUAUUUCACAUUGUCUCUGCCUUUUUAUUGUAUCCAGGCGCUCAGCUGAUUGGAUGAUACCUGCUCCCAUUGGGCCUCCAAAUUCUUCACUCACUGACUCACCCAGAACAACUUCCAGUCCUGCAAGCUCCAUUCAUGCCAGGAUCUCACUAUGUUACUUAGGCUGGUCUCAAACUCCUGGCUUCAAGUGAUCCUCCCAUCUCAAUCUCCCAAAGUGCUGUGACUACAGGUGUGAGUCACUGUGCCAGGCCCAACCUGAAACCUUGACUGCAACUCACCUCAGAGACUGCGACACACUGGCUAUGCCCCAAGUCAUAUGUGGAGAGGGCAGCUUUUCUCAUCCGGCU